rnacentral:rRNA from 1 species
CAGUCGCCGCGGGAAUACGAGGGGGGCAAGCGUUGUUCGGAUUUAUUGGGCGUAAAGGGCGCGUAGGCGGUUAUAUAAGUGAGAUGUGAAAUCCCUGGGCUUAACCUAGGAACUGCAUCUUAUACUGUAUGGCUAGAGUAUUGUAGAGGGUAGUGGAAUUUCCGGUGUAGCGGUGAAAUGCGUAGAGAUCGGAAGGAACACCAGUGGCGAAGGCGGCUACCUGGACAAAUACUGACGCUGAGGCGCGAAAGCGUGGGGAGCAAACAGGAUUAGAUACCCGGGUAGUCCCUGUCUCUUAUAC